UGGGGAAUCUUGGACAAUGGGGGAAACCCUGAUCCAGCCAUGCCGCGUGGAUGAUGAAGGCCUUAGGGUUGUAAAAUCCUUUCGCCGCUGAAGAUAAUGACGGUAAGCGGAAAAGAAGCCCCGGCUAAUUUCGUGCCAGCAGCCGCGGUAAUACGAAAGGGGCUAGCGUUGUUCGGAAUUACUGGGCGUAGAGCGCGUGUAGGCGGACCAGCCAGUUGGGGGUGAAAGCCCAGGGCUCAACCCUGGAAUUGCCUCCAAUACUGUUGGUCUUGAGUUUGGGAGAGGUGAGCGGAAUUCCGAGUGUAGAGGUGAAAUUCGUAGAUAUUCGGAGGAACACCAGAGGCGAAGGCGGCUCACUGGACCACAACUGACGCUGAGACGCGAAAGCGUGGGGAGCAAACAGGAUUAGAUACCCCCGUAGUCC
rnacentral:rRNA from 1 species